rnacentral:tRNA from 1 species
GCCUGGGUGGCUUAGUUGGUUAAGCAACUGACUUCGGCUCAGGUCAUGAUCUCACGGUUUGUGGGUUCGAGCCCUGCGUCAGGCC